GCUCAGAAACUCAAAGGAAUUGACGGGGCCGCACAAGCGGUGGAGCAUGUGGUUAAUCGAAGCAACGCGAAGAACCUUACCAGGCCUUGACAUGCAGAGAACUUUCCAGAGAUGGAUUGGUGCCUUCGGGAACUCUGACACAGGUGCUGCAUGGCUGUCGUCAGCUCGUGUCGUGAGAUGGUGGGUUAAGUCCCGUAACGAGCGCAACCCUUGUCCUUAGUUACCAGCACGUUAUGGUGGGCACUCUAAGGAGACUGCCGGUGACAAACCGGAGGAAGGUGGGGAUGACGUCAAGUCAUCAUGGCCCUUACGGCCUGGGCUACACACGUGCUACAAUGGUCGGUACAAAGGGCUGCCAAGCCGCGAGGUGGAGCUAAUCCCAUAAAACCGAUCGUAGUCCGGAUCGCAGUCUGCAACUCGACUGCGUGAAGUCGGAAUCGCUAGUAAUCGUGAAUCAGAAUGUCACGGUGAAUACGUUCCCGGGCCUU
rnacentral:rRNA from 1 species